rnacentral:rRNA from 1 species
GAUGAACGCUGGCGGCGUGCCUAAUACAUGCAAGUCGAGCGAACGGACGAGAAGCUUGCUUCUCUGAUGUUAGCGGCGGACGGGUGAGUAACACGUGGAUAACCUACCUAUAAGACUGGGAUAACUUCGGGAAACCGGAGCUAAUACCGGAUAAUAUUUUGAACCGCAUGGUUCAAAAGUGAAAGACGGUCUUGCUGUCACUUAUAGAUGGAUCCGCGCUGCAUUAGCUAGUUGGUAAGGUAACGGCUUACCAAGGCAACGAUGCAUAGCCGACCUGAGAGGGUGAUCGGCCACACUGGAACUGAGACACGGUCCAGACUCCUACGGGAGGCAGCAGUAGGGAAUCUUCCGCAAUGGGCGAAAGCCUGACGGAGCAACGCCGCGUGAGUGAUGAAGGUCUUCGGAUCGUAAAACUCUGUUAUUAGGGAAGAACAUAUGUGUAAGUAACUGUGCACAUCUUGACGGUACCUAAUCAGAAAGCCACGGCUAACUACGUGCCAGCAGCCGCGGUAAUACGUAGGUGGCAAGCGUUAUCCGGAAUUAUUGGGCGUAAAGCGCGCGUAGGCGGUUUUUUAAGUCUGAUGUGAAAGCCCACGGCUCAACCGUGGAGGGUCAUUGGAAACUGGAAAACUUGAGUGCAGAAGAGGAAAGUGGAAUUCCAUGUGUAGCGGUGAAAUGCGCAGAGAUAUGGAGGAACACCAGUGGCGAAGGCGACUUUCUGGUCUGUAACUGACGCUGAUGUGCGAAAGCGUGGGGAUCAAACAGGAUUAGAUACCCUGGUAGUCCACGCCGUAAACGAUGAGUGCUAAGUGUUAGGGGGUUUCCGCCCCUUAGUGCUGCAGCUAACGCGUUAAGCACUCCGCCUGGGGAGUACGACCGCAAGGUUGAAACUCAAAGGAAUUGACGGGGACCCGCACAAGCGGUGGAGCAUGUGGUUUAAUUCGAAGCAACGCGAAGAACCUUACCAAAUCUUGACAUCCUUUGACAACUCUAGAGAUAGAGCCUUCCCCUUCGGGGGACAAAGUGACAGGUGGUGCAUGGUUAUCGUCAGCUCGUGUCGUGAGAUGUUGGGUUAAGUCCCGCAACGAGCGCAACCCUUAAGCUUAGUUGCCAUCAUUAAGUUGGGCACUCUAAGUUGACUGCCGGUGACAAACCGGAGGAAGGUGGGGAUGACGUCAAAUCAUCAUGCCCCUUAUGAUUUGGGCUACACACGUGCUACAAUGGACAAUACAAAGGGCAGCGAAACCGCGAGGUCAAGCAAAUCCCAUAAAGUUGUUCUCAGUUCGGAUUGUAGUCUGCAACUCGACUACAUGAAGCUGGAAUCGCUAGUAAUCGUAGAUCAGCAUGCUACGGUGAAUACGUUCCCGGGUCU